rnacentral:rRNA from 1 species
AUUGAUCGCUGGCGGCAGGCUUAACACAUGCAAGUCGAGCGAAGAUGAGGUGCUUGCACCUUAUCUUAGCGGCGGACGGGUGAGUAAUGCUUAGGAAUCUGCCUAUUAGUGGGGGACAACAUUCCGACAGGAAUGCUAAUACCGCAUACGCCCUACGGGGGAAAGCAGGGGAUCUUCGGACCUUGCGCUACUAGAUGAGCCUAAGCCGGAUUAGCUAGUUGGUGGGGUAGAGGCCUACCAAGGCGACGAUCUGUAGCGGGUCUGAGAGGAUGAUCCGCCACACUGGGACUGAGACACGGCCCAGACUCCUACGGGAGGCAGCAGUGGGGAAUAUUGGACAAUGGGCGGAAGCCUGAUCCAGCCAUGCCGCGUGUGUGAAGAAGGCCUUUUGGUUGUAAAGCACUUUAAGCGAGGAGGAGGCUACCUGGAUUAAUACUCUAGGAUAGUGGACGUUACUCGCAGAAUAAGCACCGGCUAACUCUGUGCCAGCAGCCGCCGUAAAAC